rnacentral:rRNA from 1 species
GAUCAGUAGCCGGCUUGAGAGGGCGGACGGCCACACUGGGACUGAGACACGGCCCAGACUCCUACGGGAGGCAGCAGUGGGGAAUUGUUCGCAAUGGGCGCAAGCCUGACGACGCAACGCCGCGUGGAGGAUGAAGGUCUUCGGAUUGUAAACUCCUGUUGAUCGGGACGAAAAGCUUCGACUUAACACGUCGAGGACCGACGGUACCGGUUGAGGAAGCCACGGCUAAUUCUGUGCCAGCAGCCGCGGUAAUACAGAGGUGGCAAGCGUUGUUCGGAAUUACUGGGCGUAAAGGGCGCGUAGGCGGCCUUAUAAGUCGGACGUGAAAGCCCCAGGCUUAACCUGGGAACUGCGUCCGAUACUGGGAGGCUUGGAUUCGGGAGAGGGAUGUGGAAUUCCAGGUGUAGCGGUGAAAUGCGUAGAUAUCUGGAGGAACACCGGUGGCGAAGGCGGCAUCCUGGACCGAGAUCGACGCUGAGGCGCGAAAGCUAGGGGAGCAAACGGGAUUAGAUACCCCGGUAGUCCUAGCCCUAAACGAUGAAUGCUUGGUGUGGCGGGUAUCGAUCCCUGCCGUGCCGAAGCUAACGCAUUAAGCA